rnacentral:sRNA from 1 species
GGCACCGCAAGGAAGGGAAAAGCUGCCAUGGUAGAAGAAUGACCAGGAGGGAGAGAGAGAGCCACACUGGAGUAAGAGUAAAGGAAAUGUGGCCAUGUGAGCUGACCAAUUGGAGCUAAGGGUGCCCAGAUGGAACACAGUAAAUAAUGUUUGGCACAGGAUCUCAACUUGAUGACUAUUUCUUCUUGUUCUCCUUCACCUCACAAGAACCUUCCAAGCCACAAUUCUUUGGAAAUCGACACAAGGAGCUUUACUUCAAAUUACCAUCUUUCGCUUAACAAGAUCCAUCUCUAAGGAAAGACACGUUGCAGUGAUGAGGACUUUGGUUGGAAGCUACGUUACAAACCUGAGCCCCAGAGCCAUCUCCUGGAUGGGCAUCACUGCCUCCUCUACAGUCCAAAGCAGGAAACCCAGAGGUCCCCAGGGCAGGAGGAUGACUCGGUCAUAAUAUGGAAGGCGCUUAGACCCAACGCUACCACAUUUGAACUAAGGAAUCAAUCAGGUGAAGGGGAGUGGGAGGGCGAGAUAUUGCUUUGCUAAGAAGAGCCUCAGGUCUCCCUUUCCCAGGCCACUGAGCAGCCCCAACCAGAAGCAGAACCCUGACCAAACUCUGAGCUUAAUCUUUCCAGCCUUCAGGACAGAGGGAAACUAAGUUCCUGUAAUUUCUGACAGCCGGUCUAAGGUACUUUGCUAUGGCAGCCGGAGUAUUCAGACAGAGUGUCGGUAGCAUCUGGGUUGAACAAUCAUUUGUCAUGGGGGUUCCAUAUACUGCAGGAUACUUGGAUACUUUGUGUGUUUUAUUUACAAUUAUGAAAUGCCAGUAGGAUUAUCCUGUCAUAUAUCGGCCAUUUCCUUUCAUUUCUCUAAAUGUGCUUUAAGGUGGACAAGUACUUUCUGUCCCAGUAGAAGGUGCAAAACAAGCCUAUAAGUGGCCAAUUCACUGUUGCUUCUGGUGUCUUAGUGACCACAGGGGAAGGUUUCCCCUUAGUGUGGGUCAGGGAUGUGCUACAACAGCAAUCUCAGUUGUCUUGCCAAGAAGCCACAGCACUGGAAGAGGGUCUUUGUAAGAAGCAAAAUUCCUUCUCUUAUUACCAAUUGACCAAUGCACUGUGUGUCACUGAGAAAAACAAGAAACACCAUGAUGGUGGCUCUCACACAGUGAGUUCAAAGGCUGCCUAAGCUGCACAGUGAGGCACUGUCUUAAAUGCCAAGGGCUAGUGUCUGGCUCAGUGGGACAGUCCUUGCUCAGAGUGCACAAGGAUGUGGGUUCUAUCCCAGAGGGCUUGCACCCUGAGAUAAAUCAAAACAAAAUACAAGAAAAGUCACUAAAGGAACAUUCUUGUUAGUACUUGUCAAAUCAAUAAAGUCCUUUUUAGGAUGUUGCUAACUACCUAGGAAAAAUAACCGUACAUUUUACAAUAAUGAGUGUGGCAGAUUUAUGAUGAACUCUCCUAUGUGUAAUUGUCUAAGAGAGCUGGUUUUCUCACCUUGAUGUGGCUGUGUUAAAGCACUGGACACUUAAUGGAGCUUUCCCCAAACCCCCAAAUGCUGGCUGCAUUCUUUAUUUUUGAUGUCCCAGACAGGCUAUAUCUUGUUUUGUACGGUCAGACUUUCGAUUUUACCCACUCAAAGUGGUUUCAGUAUGUAGAUCAUUGGCAAUGGAUACAUUUAUAUAUUAGUGACCUGUUCAUUUUUUUCUGUUUUAAGUUUUGUGUCACUUUUUGUUAAUUGUACUUUUUAAAGGAAUUUGGCCAGCGAAUGUAAGUGACUACCUGUUGUGGAUUGCCUUGGUGCUGUUUGUAUUUUGAUGCUAAUCCUACCUCCUAGGAGGAGCAGAUCACAAACUCAGGUGACCUGCUCCCCAACUGAAAAUAAAGGCUAGAGCCUGUGAUUGGGCAGUGGAAGGGAAAGGCGUGGCUGGAGGUUUUAGAGAGAGGAGACACAUGAGACAGAGGAUAGAGGGAGAAGACGAGGAAGAAGAGGUGGAGAUGGAGCAGACCCACUGGCCUGGAGGAGCUGCAAGCUUCUAGGGACUUCAUAGCUGGGCAGUAGAGUAGUGUAGUGUAUAUUUGCCCAAUCUAGGCAUGCACUUGUAAGUAUAUUAACUGAGUUGUGUGCUCUUAGCAUGGGCAUAUUGGGGUUGGAGAUUUACCAAUAUAAAUCUGGCUGGUAUAAAUAUAAGUCUCUAGUGUUUUCCUUUUAUGGGGUUAGAGGGAGCUGAGGGAGACCAGAAUGGUUGUUCCAUGAGAGGGCCAGAAGGCUGCUUGGAGCUAGCUGUGGGGGAUGGGUGAGACCGCCAUUUCAGGCACCAAGCCAGAACAAGCGUGAGUUCUAUUACAAUUACACCGUACAACUACCCUCCUCCUAGAUCCGCUUUUCACAAUGUAUACUGUUUGAUCUGUCUUGCACAGAAGGAAAGGUUUUUGUUGUUAUUUUUUGGGUGUUUGUUGUUGUUGUUUGUUUGUUUGUUUGUUUUUGCCAUUCAGGAUAAUAAAGGCACAGUCUCCUCUGCAGAGGCAAUGGUCAGGAAGCUCAACUCUGACACAACAGCCACCUUCACAGAUGCCACCAUGGAACAUGAAGAUCCAAAGGAGAUGAGUGCCACAGAAGUCUUGUGUCGUUUGCCUAGCACACAUGGAGCAGGCAGGGAAGCUUGUGAGCCUAACUGGUCAGAUCUUCCACAGUUCCCAAGAACCAGCAGAAGUUGCUAAACAGAAAUGACACCCACAGAUGUGCUAAUGUGGACAAGGUGGGAAGGGAGCUCAUGAGGCCUCAUGUAGACAAAGAGCUACAAACAACAAGGGGUGCUGAGAGCUGGACAAACAUAACAGUCUUCCUCAAGAUCACACCAACUAGUCAUCCAGUACGGAAUCGUCAGCCAUGAAAACAUACAUAUACUUAAUGUUAUAGGUACUGAGCACAUUGUAUUUGUAUAAUAGAAUACACACACACACACACACACACACACACACACACACACAGACACACUCA